rnacentral:lncRNA from 1 species
GGUUAUCCCACUCUGCCAUGUGUGCUGUUUCUCUUUGCUUUUGCCACUACUCCACUCUGUGCUUGAAAUUCUGUGACUCUUCCCUGUAUCUAUGCCAGCAGCUCAUGCAACAUCAUCUGCUCCCACCGUAACUCUAGUACAGCUGCCCAAUGGGCAGACAGUUCAAGUCCAUGGAGUCAUUCAGGCGGCCCAGCCAUCAGUUAUUCAGUCUCCACAAGUCCAAACAGUUCAGAUUUCAACUAUUGCAGAAAGUGAAGAUUCACAGGAGUCAGUGGAUAGUGUAACUGAUUCCCAAAAGCGAAGGGAAAUUCUUUCAAGGAGGCCUUCCUACAGGUAUGGAAUUUAAUAGUUAGAAUCAAAGAUGUGGAGGAAGUCUUAGGUAGUUGCAGAUAAAGAGAUGUCAGAAGACCAGUUAGUUGUUCACGUCAGUUCCUUAUAGAUUACUUUUCUUCAUCUUGAGUUAUUUGUCUCAAAUAAAGUGGAAGCUUAUCCUACAGAAUAAGAAGAGCACUUGUUACUCUCACCAGUCCUAAUUUUUUUUUUUUCUGUUUCUGUUUCUGUAGACUGUGCUGGCUGUCUUUCUGUUAAAAGUUUGGAAUACAGUUGAUAAGGUUAUAGCAUUUUUUAGUUAUAAGCCAACUCUGAGGCUCUGUUAUUUAUCUACUUAGUAACACAUUGCAAACCAUUUUUUAUGCCAUGGUACUUAACAGAUAGCUAUUAAUUUAAUAAUUGUCUCAGGGAGAUGCUUUACUAACAUCCCCUAAUUUUAGCAGUAGCUUACUGUAAUUUUUGUGUUCAGUUAUAGAUGUUGCCUAGUCCAUGCCUUGCCUCCAAGGUGAACCAAAACCAUUUUUUAAUGUAAAAAUUAGCUCCACAUUAAAUAUCUUCAGGAAGGGCAGUUCCAUAAAUCUUGAUAAGUU